UCGGGUUUGAAAGGAAUGAAGAGAGCUAAAUGUAGAAACAGCGCUUGAGAGAAGCCUUCACGCGGGGAUUCAGUGCCCCUAGAAGAGGCUGCGCCGCUUUUAACCUUGCCGAUGACGGUUGCUUAGGUCCUCUUGCCCCUGGCCAAUGUGGCAUUAAUUGACUACACUCUGGAAUUCCUGACUGCCACAGGUGUACAGGAAACAUUUGUCUUUUGUUGCUGGAAAGCUGCUCAAAUCAAAGAACAUUUACUGUAAGGCCCUGCAACUUUUCUUUCCAUGUUUCGCCAUCUUUUUCCAGUUUUUUCAGGAUGAAUGUAACUAAGGGGAAAUGUGAGAGGGGAAAAAUGUGUCUACUUAGAUGUCAUUGUAAGUUCUAAGGGUAUUUUCUACACUUAUCAGGAGGUGAGCAGCUGAAACUUUGUAUCUGUCUGUCUUGGGUUUUCUGUGACAAAGAUUAAAGAAUAAACUUGGGUUUUUUCUGAAUCUCAUUAUAA
rnacentral:sRNA from 1 species